ACAGAAGCUCUGUAAGACCAGAACCAGAACCUGAACCUGAGUCUGAACCUGAGUCUGAGUCUGGAACCAGAACCAGAACCUGGUUCUGGUUGUCUCUAACAGGUUUUGACAGAACUUUGUGGUUCAGACUCAGCUGUGUGAAGAACAGGUCUGACUGAGACAAGAGACGAAGACGAGGAUCAGUUUCCACAACCUUCAGAGGACAAACAGAGACAAAGUCCAGAGGGACCAUGAGUCACACCUGAGACAGAGGAGGAGGAGGAGGAGGAGGAGGAGGAGGUGUUACAGGACAGAAGAGGUGAGGAAGAGGAGGAGGAGGAGCAGCCAACAGGUCCUGCAGGAGGAGGUUUUUACCGGUUUAUAAACAGCUGAGAAGUUUCAAAGUCAUCCAGGAGCAGCGAGUCGCUCUGAGUUCAAGUAAACAAGCAGGUUUGAUCCAACCUUCAGUCUGAAGCUGGUGAACCUCUGAGGACCAGCAGGGGGCGCUCCUCCAGAGACCUCACAGCUGAGCCGUGGCCUCCAUGUAUGAAAACAUCAGAACCACUCUAGUCUGACUCGACCCGGUUCUGGUUCUGUUGCUUCGUCUUAAUUUCAGGAAACCACAAAAUUAAAGUAUUCUGCCACCAGGUGGCGCCAAAACAAAUGUUGACACAACCUGAGCAGAAACUUGAAGCUGAAAAGUUUCAGAAGUAAAAAAGUCGCGACUCACCGUUGAUUUAGGAGGAGGGGAGGAGAC